UUCGGGGAACGAUAACGGCGUCGAGCGGCGGACGGGUGAGUAAUGCCUAGGAAAUUGCCUUGAUGUGGGGGAUAACCAUUGGAAACGAUGGCUAAUACCGCAUAAUGCCUACGGGCCAAAGAGGGGGACCUUCGGGCCUCUCGCGUCAAGAUAUGCCUAGGUGGGAUUAGCUAGUUGGUGAGGUAAUGGCUCACCAAGGCGACGAUCCCUAGCUGGUCUGAGAGGAUGAUCAGCCACACUGGAACUGAGACACGGUCCAGACUCCUACGGGAGGCAGCAGUGGGGAAUAUUGCACAAUGGGCGAAAGCCUGAUGCAGCCAUGCCGCGUGUAUGAAGAAGGCCUUCGGGUUGUAAAGUACUUUCAGUUGUGAGGAAGGGGGUGUCGUUAAUAGCGGCAUCUCUUGACGUUAGCAACAGAAGAAGCACCGGCUAACUCCGUGCCAGCAGCCGCGGUAAUACGGAGGGUGCGAGCGUUAAUCGGAAUUACUGGGCGUAAAGC
rnacentral:rRNA from 1 species